GGGUGAAAAAAUACCCAUGAUCUUUAUUUGUUCGGAUGGAAAAAAUGUGCAUUUUUUUCACCCAUUAAUGGGUGAAAAAGUAGAUGUAAAAAUUUCAAGUGCUGUCCCGUUUUUUCGCAAGGAGAAUUAAAGCAACGAGUUCCCGCUUAGACGUCUUCGUUAGUGGAAUUCUGGAGCCUAAAGAAACAACUUUUCUACAUUUCUUCCUGAUGCUACCGGGGCAUAAUGGAAAACCGGUAAAAUUAUUCUGGAACCUGGUCUAUAGUUAAAAAACCACACAAAAUGCGGGUCGACUGUUUGACACAAUCUUCCGGAGAUGCCAUCCUGGAUGAGGCCAUCAAGCGCUGUUUGGAUAAAGAAUUAUGAUUUUAACAUAAUUGUGCAUAAUGAUUAUAUUUGGCGAAUAAAAAUGUAUUCUAACCUUA